UACAGAGACUGCAAGCGUUAUUCGGAUUCACUGGGCGUAAAGGGUGCGCAGGCGGCCAAGUGUGUGAGGCGUGAAAGCCCGGGGCUUAACUCCGGAAUUGCACCUCAAACUACACGGCUAGAGCAUUGGAGAGGGUAGCGGAAUUCACGGUGUAGCAGUGAAAUGCGUAGAUAUCGUGAGGAACACCAGAGGCGAAGGCGGCUACCUGGACAAUUGCUGACGCUCAGGCACGAAAGCGUGGGGAGCAAAAGGG
rnacentral:rRNA from 1 species